UUGAUAGAGUAAGGGGGUGAGGAGGGGGGAGAAGAGGUAGAGGGAUCCUCCAGACGUCUGAAAACCUGAGGUGGUCAGAUCAGAUGACCAGACAGGCUGUGUGUGUGUGUGUUUGUUGCUAAUGUGUUGGAGAAUAAUGUUCCAAUAUAACUCUGGAAUAGUUUGAACCAACACCCUUGGCUCCUCCCACUUCCGUCUGCUCUGUUAUCGAUUUGCACUUUAAAACAAUUGAAUGGAAAUGGAAAGGUUAAAAAAAAAAGGAGGUGGAAUAUCAAUAAAAUGUGAAUUGCAAAGAUUCAGUAAAGGAUGAGGUUUAGAUAACGAGUGAGUGAAAUGGUGGAACGACAGCAUAGCAACACGUCUGUGGUUAAAAAUCACGAUAUUCCUGAUUGUUAUGUUUUUAUUUCUGCAUUAUCACCUGAAACUAAGCAUUGUUUGUUUUUUUUUACGUGACCCGAGGUUCUUCACUCGGGGACAACGUCCAGAAGCAUCAUCACGUCCCCUUACGUCACUCAGAAAAGGAGAGCGGCGAGGAAGAGGAGGAGGAGGAGCUCCAACAACACGACAUUUAAGAGGUGCAGUGGUCUGGAGCCGCUCUCCAACAGCAUGCACAGUGAUGUCACCAUGAGGACGACAGAGACAACACCACAUUGUCGGGCGGACGGGGAGUUUGAUCCAGACGCUUGGAUGGAGUUCCAGUUUCACAGAAACAGCUGUGUGGAUACUCAAGACAAACUGGCCACCGUGCCGCCUGAUUUGAUCCUCCUCGCUCCGUCACAGUCCAGUAACCUGCCUUCCUUCCAGACCCCAGCCAGCGUGUGUGUGUGUGUGUGUGUGUGUGUGUGUGUGUGUGUG